UUUUCUUUUUUUCAGAAAUUAUAGUCCUUGUGUUCUUUACACUGACUAUAUAGAAAGAGGGGAUACAGUAAAUGCACCCCAUAUACACCUCAACACAGGCCCUUUGUAUGGUCUGUAUUGUGAAUUGGGGGACAAAC